rnacentral:rRNA from 1 species
CUGGGAAACUGCCUGAUGGAGGGGGAUAACUACUGGAAACGGUAGCUAAUACCGCAUAACGUCUUCGGACCAAAGUGGGGGACCUUCGGGCCUCACGCCAUCAGAUGUGCCCAGAUGGGAUUAGCUAGUAGGUGGGUAAUGGCUCACCUAGGCGACGAUCCCUAGCUGGUCUGAGAGGAUGACCAGCCACACUGGAACUGAGACACGGUCCAGACUCCUACGGGAGGCAGCAGUGGGGAAUAUUGCACAAUGGGCGCAAGCCUGAUGCAGCCAUGCCGCGUGUGUGAAGAAGGCCUUCGGGUUGUAAAGCACUUUCAGCGAGGAGGAAGGGUUCAGUGUUAAUAGCACUGUUCAUUGACGUUACUCGCAGAAGAAGCACCGGCUAACUCCGUGCCAGCAGCCGCGGUAAUACGGAGGGUGCAAGCGUUAAUCGGAAUUACUGGGCGUAAAGCGCACGCAGGCGGUUUGUUAAGUCAGAUGUGAAAUCCCCGCGCUUAACGUGGGAACUGCAUUUGAAACUGGCAAGCUAGAGUCUUGUAGAGGGGGGUAGAAUUCCAGGUGUAGCGGUGAAAUGCGUAGAGAUCUGGAGGAAUACCGGUGGCGAAGGCGGCCCCCUGGACAAAGACUGACGCUCAGGUGUGAAAGUGUGGGGAGCAAACAGGAUUUGAUACCCUGGUAGUCCACGCUGUAAACGAUGUCGAAUUGGAGGUUGUGCCCUUGAGGCGUGGCUUCCGGAGCCUAACGCGUUAAGUCGACCGCCUGGGGAGUACGGCCGCAAGGUUAAAACUCAAAUGAAUUGACGGGGGCCCGCACAAGCGGUGGAGCAUGUGGUUUAAUUCGAUGCAACGCGAAGAACCUUACCUACUCUUGACAUCCACAGAAUUCGCUAGAGAUAGCUUAGUGCCUUCGGGAACUGUGAGA